rnacentral:piRNA from 1 species
GCCAGAGUCCCGGAGGCCAUUGUUUAUUCGU